rnacentral:rRNA from 1 species
GGAGAGAUAUACCGAGGUUUUCACUCCAAACCCUUAUGUGAACCUACCUAUCGUUGCUUCGGCGGACUCGCCCCAGCCGGACGCGGACUGGACCAGCGGCCGCCGGGGACCAUCAAACUCUUGUAUUAUCAGCAUCUUCUGAAUACGCCGCAAGGCAAAACAAAUAAAUUAAAACUUUCAACAACGGAUCUCUUGGCUCUGGCAUCGAUGAAGAACGCAGCGAAAUGCGAUAAGUAAUGUGAAUUGCAGAAUCCAGUGAAUCAUCGAAUCUUUGAACGCACAUUGCGCCCGCCAGCAUUCUGGCGGGCAUGCCUGUUCGAGCGUCAUUUCAACCCUCGACCUCCCUUUGGGGAAGUCGGCGUUGGGGACCGGCAGCACACCGCCGGCCCUGAAAUGGAGUGGCGGCCCGUCCGCGGCGACCUCUGCGUAGUAAACCAACUCGCACCGGAACCCCGACGUGGCCACGCCGUAAAACACCCAACUUCUGAACGUUGACCUCGAAUCAGGUAGGACUACCCGCUGAACUUAAGCAUAUCAUAAAGCGGAGGAA